CGCAGCAGGCAGGGUCUCCAUAAAAAGUGGAGGAAAUCUGUGUGUGAGGGGGAGCAGAAAGAGGAAGGAGAGACCCAGGUAUCAUUGCAAGGAGGGCACUGACUAGCAGGAAAGUGUCUGUCUGAGAACAGUUGCUCACUCAGCCCUGACCAGCACGAAAGGCAAAGCGGAAGUGUGAGCUGUAGCCACAGGCAGAAGCGCUGGUCUCCCAAGCAAACUGUGAGAAGGAGACAAGGGUGCCAUCCUGUGGGCCACUGAAACCAUGAGCUCCACACUCCUCUGCUAUGUGGCCCUUUGUCUCCUGGGAGCAGGUCCUGUGUAUUCUGGAGUUACUCAGAUACCAAAACACCUGGUCACAGUGAUGGGGACUAACAGGACUCUGAAAUGUGAACAAAACCUGGGACACGGUGCUAUGUUUUGGUAUAGACAGAAUGCUAAGAAUCCCAUAAAGCUCAUGUUUUAUUACAGCUAUAGUAACCUCCUUCAAAAUGAAACUGUUCCCAGUCGCUUCACACCUGACAAUUCAGACAGCUCUCGGUUGUAUCUUCACAUUGCUUUUCUGGAGAUGGAGGACUCAGGCGUGUACCUCUGUGCCAGUAGCUAA